GCAGUCGAGCGACGGACGAGAAGCUUGCUUCUCUGAUGUUAGCGGCGGACGGGUGAGUAACACGUGGAUAACCUACCUAUAAGACUGGGAUAACUUCGGGAAACCGGAGCUAAUACCGGAUAAUAUUUUGAACCGCAUGGUUCAAAAGUGAAAGACGGUCUUGCUGUCACUUAUAGAUGGAUCCGCGCUGCAUUAGCUAGUUGGUAAGGUAACGGCUUACCAAGGCAACGAUGCAUAGCCGACCUGAGAGGGUGAUCGGCCACACUGGAACUGAGACACGGUCCAGACUCCUACGGGAGGCAGCAGUAGGGAAUCUUCCGCAAUGGGCGAAAGCCUGACGGAGCAACGCCGCGUGAGUGAU
rnacentral:rRNA from 1 species